rnacentral:lncRNA from 1 species
UUUACUUAGUUUAAAUUUUUAUAUUCAGUCCAAGAGUCCCAAAUAAAAGACCCUUGGCCGAAUUUCCAUAUUAAAAUAAUUAGGAGUUUUUUUUUUUAGUUUUAGUUUUAGUGUUCUAAUUAAAUUAGGAAAACAUUUGAAAGGCCUAUUUAUAUGGCUUGGCCAGCCACCCUACAUUACAUUACAAUUACAUUAAAAAUUUCAGAUUUGAUUUGAGUGAAAAUUCUCUUUGAGUUCUUCAAGGAUUUUCUCUUGAGUUUUCUUUAGAAGUUGUUUUAACAAUCUUUUUGAUUGUGGGAGCCAUCUUCAACCUUCUUCUUGCCAUUGAUAUUCUUUGGAGGGGAGAUUAGAGCCGUUUGAAGGG